UUCCUUGGUCUCAAUCAUCCAAUCAUACACAAACAUGUAAACUAGUAAUUGACACCAAACAAGACAACACAGUAUUGGGUUCACCAUAAUACAAACCAUAAUAAAAGAAACCAUGAUUCAUGCAUACGAGACCAUAAAAUAAAUACAUCAAAUAUCAUACUGCAUUUAAUACUGAAAAAUAGAUCAAACAACAACUGACCAACAAUAUAUUAGAUUCGGGCUCCAUUGGCAACCUCAAUCAAUUAUACAUAUCUAUAAAGUCACAAAAUACCGUUUAAUUAUUUAUUAAGCUUUAAUGUCGUGAUAGGAGGUAGGGU
rnacentral:lncRNA from 1 species